AGUGAACGCUGGCGGUAGGCCUAACACAUGCAAGUCGAACGGCAGCACAGUAAGAGCUUGCUCUUACGGGUGGCGAGUGGCGGACGGGUGAGGAAUACAUCGGAAUCUACUUUUUCGUGGGGGAUAACGUAGGGAAACUUACGCUAAUACCGCAUACGACCUACGGGUGAAAGCAGGGGAUCUUCGGACCUUGCGCGAUUGAAUGAGCCGAUGUCGGAUUAGCUAGUUGGCGGGGUAAAGGCCCACCAAGGCGACGAUCCGUAGCUGGUCUGAGAGGAUGAUCAGCCACACUGGAACUGAGACACGGUCCAGACUCCUACGGGAGGCAGCAGUGGGGAAUAUUGGACAAUGGGCGCAAGCCUGAUCCAGCCAUACCGCGUGGGUGAAGAAGGCCUUCGGGUUGUAAAGCCCUUUCGUUGGGAAAGAAGAGCAGCAGGUUAAUACCCCGCUGUUCUGACGGUACCCAAAGAAUAAGCACCGGCUAACUUCGUG
rnacentral:rRNA from 1 species